AUUGAACGCUGGCGGCAGGCCUAACACAUGCAAGUCGAGCGGUAGAGAGAAGCUUGCUUCUCUUGAGAGCGGCGGACGGGUGAGUAAUGCCUAGGAAUCUGCCUGGUAGUGGGGGAUAACGUUCGGAAACGGACGCUAAUACCGCAUACGUCCUACGGGAGAAAGCAGGGGACCUUCGGGCCUUGCGCUAUCAGAUGAGCCUAGGUCGGAUUAGCUAGUUGGUGGGGUAAUGGCUCACCAAGGCGACGAUCCGUAACUGGUCUGAGAGGAUGAUCAGUCACACUGGAACUGAGACACGGUCCAGACUCCUACGGGAGGCAGCAGUGGGGAAUAUUGGACAAUGGGCGAAAGCCUGAUCCAGCCAUGCCGCGUGUGUGAAGAAGGUCUUCGGAUUGUAAAGCACUUUAAGUUGGGAGGAAGGGCAGUAAAUUAAUACUUUGCUGUUUUGACGUUACCGACAGAAUAAGCACCGGCUAACCCUGUG
rnacentral:rRNA from 1 species